rnacentral:rRNA from 1 species
GAUGACGCCUGCGGCGUGCCUAAUACAUGCAAGUCGAGCGAACAGAUAAGGAGCUUGCUCCUUUGACGUUAGCGGCGGACGGGUGAGUAACACGUGGGUAACCUACCUAUAAGACUGGGAUAACUUCGGGAAACCGGAGCUAAUACCGGAUAACAUUUGGAACCGCAUGGUUCUAAAGUGAAAGAUGGUUUUGCUAUCACUUAUAGAUGGACCCGCGCCGUAUUAGCUAGUUGGUAAGGUAACGGCUUACCAAGGCGACGAUACGUAGCCGACCUGAGAGGGUGAUCGGCCACACUGGAACUGAGACACGGUCCAGACUCCUACGGGAGGCAGCAGUAGGGAAUCUUCCGCAAUGGGCGAAAGCCUGACGGAGCAACGCCGCGUGAGUGAUGAAGGGUUUCGGCUCGUAAAACUCUGUUAUUAGGGAAGAACAAACGUGUAAGUAACUGUGCACGUCUUGACGGUACCUAAUCAGAAAGCCACGGCUAACUACGUGCCAGCAGCCGCGGUAAUACGUAGGUGGCAAGCGUUAUCCGGAAUUAUUGGGCGUAAAGCGCGCGUAGGCGGUUUCUUAAGUCUGAUGUGAAAGCCCACGGCUCAACCGUGGAGGGUCAUUGGAAACUGGGAAACUUGAGUGCAGAAGAGGAAAGUGGAAUUCCAUGUGUAGCGGUGAAAUGCGCAGAGAUAUGGAGGAACACCAGUGGCGAAGGCGACUUUCUGGUCUGUAACUGACGCUGAUGUGCGAAAGCGUGGGGAUCAAACAGGAUUAGAUACCCUGGUAGUCCACGCCGUAAACGAUGAGUGCUAAGUGUUAGGGGGUUUCCGCCCCUUAGUGCUGCAGCUAACGCAUUAAGCACUCCGC